AACACAGUAUUACAGUAAGUCCCCCAGUUUACAGUUCAGAUUUUCCUUAAAGCCCUCACACAGGACUGCAGCAGGAUUUAAACAUCUGUUCAAGAUGAACAGAAAAGCACUGAAGGCAACUGAUCAGGAGAAACUUAGCCAUGCCUUUAUCUCCUCCUGCCUCGACUACUGAACUCCCAUGAUCUGUACCUCUCUCAGAGGUAAUCGAGGAAGAAGCUGACUAUGUUAAUGCAGCAGCAGAUCAGAAGUUCCUCUCCUUCACUCCGUCUUUUCCACCAGUGGCAGUGUGCUGGGUGAUUCUGUCAGUGAUUAUGGCCCUUCAAAUACACUUUACCUCUGUCAUUUCUGAACACAACGCCAAGCUGACUGCAGAAAACCACAACUUGACAUCACAAACCAGGAUAUGGAGACACAUAUCAACAACUU